UUUCUCUUUCCAAUGCGUUGUCUCCAAUCUCGAGUUCUCUCGUCGCGCUCUGGUGAUCAUUGUUCCCUCUUCCCGCGGUUUCUGGUUGCCACCCUUCCCUAUAAAUGCCUUUGAAAAGUCGGCAUUUUGAUAGCAGAUGUUGGCAAAAGAUUGGAACUUGGAAGCCUUAAAACCAGAAAGGUGGAAACUUUGGGGAUAACAAGCACCACAGGGGAGAAAAAGAAUUUUUUUUUUUUAAGCCUAUGUACAUAAACUUUGGCUAAAAACCAACACAGGUCUUCUUAAUUUUGGUCCAUGGGUUCUAUUUGUGUAUUAGAUUGCAUAAUUUCUUGUUUGAUGCCGUUGGAAGUUGAUUUGAAGACAGAAGAAAGAUUAAAGGCAUUGCAGCACUAGCCAAAGAUUUGGUUGAGAGAAGCUGCUUGGAUUCUAAACAUGAGAUUUAGGACUGGAAGGAGAAGGAAGCCCUUUAUUCCAAAAGUCUUCGGGAGGAAGGAGAAGAAAAUAUCCAAGGGAAAUGAAAUGUCGC